CCACUUUUGACCAGACUGCAACAGCUCUCCCACCAGCAGGUUUUCUGAAGGUUAUCAUCUGCAAUUCUAUGAUUAUACUGGGGAAAGGGAAGAAAAAGGCUAAGUAUAAGCAUGAAGACUACUGUGCUGACACCAACAAGCUAUACAACAUGUAUUUGGUAUCCUCAUUGCUACCAGCUGAAAUUUAGAAGAAUUAGCAAAUAAACUCUUUAAAUGAACCACCCCAAACAUACAUUCAAGAAUUUUCAAAGAAGAAAGCAUUUCUCUGAAACCAACAAGCACUUCAAAAAACAAAUAAAAAAAAGCCCUAUUGAAGAAAAUGCUAAAUACUGCUCUCUGAAGAGAAAAAUAUGAAUGCUGAAGAGACAUAGGAACAUCAGUCUGCACUGCGUUAGCACAGACAAGUGUUCAUGCGGCUACAAAAAAGAGUGAACAAUAAAAUUACUGGUGGAAUGAGGAGAGCUUCAGCAUGCAAGACUCAAGCCACACUCAUGAACAAGGAAUCUCUAUUGUAUCCUUUGCCUUGCAUAGUGAGGAGAUUGCUAGGUGUUCACAAGAUUGUCUAAGAUAAUUUCUAGUUGCAGGUGGCAAAUGGAGAGACUGUUACUGUCUAUAUCUGGGAGAACAUCAAACAUUCACAUCUGGAUGUGAUGAAAAGGAAGGAAAUCCUGAUUAAAUACCUAGUGAAAAAAAUCCAGUCUUGCAAGGUGGAAUAUGCUAGCAAUUGUCACUGAGGUAAAGUGGAAUAACUGACAUGAGGGUCUGGACAGAGGACCACCCUCACCAUAACAUGGGAUAACAGAUCCUUAUGGUAUGAAACAAAUAAUAAGGCUUUCUUAGUAGGUAUGUAUAUAUAUAUAUGAAAUAAUAUAUAUAUAUGAAAAAACAGUUAUUAAAUAUAUUAAUUAUGCACGCUCAUAUAAAUGCUUCAUCUUGAUUGUGCUGCUCCCACAGCAGCUGUCCAGUUUUGCUGGACAAAAAAACCAGCUCAGAUGGCUGAGUUUUUCUUUUCAGUGAUUUUUACUUUCAGGCUCAUUGUGCUGUAAUACCUGGUUCUGAAAAGCAGGAUAAGGUUAUGGAGGUCUGGUGGGCUUCAGGUUUCUGCAUCUUCAUGUAAAACUUUCAGUUGUUAUUUUGGUUUUCUAAAUGGUUGUUUUGUAAACAUCUGUACUACAAGGUAACCUUCUAGUACAAAGGACCUUUUCGACCCAAAGACACAUUUAAAGCAGUGGACGGUCCGUUCCUAUUCUCCUGCCUGGAAAUGUGAACACUUUACAAAGAAACAACAGUUCAAACAGCUCUCUCCUAUGCUAUCCCCAUUUUCAUCUUCCCUCACAACUAAUCUCCAGAAGAAAGCGUGCAACUUCUGCACUGAUACAAAACUUCAAACACAGAUGGCUUUUUUUGCUCACAUUGUUACUGC